CAGGCAGCCUUACAAUUUGUUGCCUUCCAAGUCUUUCUCACUUCACAGGUCCCAGCCAGUAUUCCUGGCCUACUUAAAUGUUUCUUUGGUCACUCAUGGUCAUCUCACAAGAACCAACACAGAUACCCUGCUUAUUUUUGUAUUGGGAGGUUUAUAUUGUUUUCUUGGCACAUAAGUGUACCUUUACAAAGAUAAUGAAAAUUGUUUUGGGCUAUAAUAGCUUAGUUUUUAAGAAUGAAGAUUUAUGUGUGGAAACAUUACAGCAAAUCAUUAUGUAUCAUUAGUA